rnacentral:piRNA from 1 species
UGCCAUACAGUUGAUGGAUCACCAAAUUC